CGGUUGUAUUUUUCAUCAUAGCGGAGGAAAAGAAACCAACAGGGAUUGCCCCAGUAACGGCGAGUGAAGCGGCAACAGCUCAAAUUUGAAAUCUGGGGUCCCCGACCUCCGAGUUGUAAUUUGGAGAGGCACGCCCGGGGGGGAGCGCCGGCCCAUGUUCCUUGGAACAGGACGUCACAGAGGGUGAGAAUCCCGUGCCAGGCCGGCUGCCUCCUCCCGCUGUGGAGCGCCUUCGACGAGUCGAGUUGUUUGGGAAUGCAGCUCCAAGUGGGUGGUAAAUUUCAUCUAAAGCUAAAUACCGGCGGGAGACCGAUAGCGCACAAGUAGAGUGAUCGAAAGAUGAAAAGCACUUUGAAAAUAGAGUCAAAAAGUACGUGAAAUUGUUGAAAGGGAAGCGCUUGAGGCCAGACUCAGGCCCUGGCAAACAUCGCGCCCCUCGGGGCCGUGCAAUUGCCGGGGGCUGGGCCAGCAUCAGUUGGCGUGGCGGGACAAAGGCGCGGGGAAUGUGGCUCCCCUCGGGGAGUGUUAUUAGGCCCGCGCUCAAUGCCGCCGACGCCGACUGAGGACCGCGCCUAGGCUAGGAUGCUGGCUUAAUGGCCUUCAGCGACCCGUCUUGAAACACGGACCAAGGAGUCUAACAUCUAUGCGAGUGUUUGGGCGCCAAACCCUUGCGCGGAAUGAAAGUGAGCGGAGGUGGGAACCCCCCAGCGGGGCGCACCAUCGACCGAUCCUGAUGUCUUCGGAUGGAUUUGAGUAGGAGCAUAGCUGUUGGGACCCGAAAGAUGGUGAACUAUGCCUGAAUAGGGUGAAGCCAGAGGAAACUCUGGUGGAGGCUCGCAGCGGUUCUGACGUGCAAAUCGAUCGUCAAAUUUGGGUAUAGGGGCGAAAGACUAAUCGAACCAUCUAGAAGCUGGUUCUGCGAAAAUUUCUCUCUC
rnacentral:rRNA from 1 species